UUCUUUUCUUUUUUUUUCUCCCCUUUAGCAGACAUUAAAUAACCAGUGCGAUAGUGCAGGCUGCAGACCCAGGCUGGUUGUAUAACGGGCUUCACCUCAGCUGAACUUGACGCAUCUGGUUCAUCGGCGGCGCAGGACGCACGGCGCAGUCUGUAGCCUGUCUGUCCCCACUGAACCGAGAUGGAUGGCCGGGGAAGAGAGGGAGGAAUUCAAGUCUUUGAUGGCCCGGUAGCCGCUAUCGGAUACCGUGUCCCAUAUAUCCAAAUGAAGGCUUCCCCUCCUCGUCGCCUACAAAUAUUGUCGCCUCUAUUUAUUUUUUGUCCAGACGCAUCAGAAGGCGAACCGCGGUGUAGGAAAUAAAGCCCGUGGACAUGGAGUUGACACCCGGGGGGAAGAGACGGUCUCCAACUUGAACUUGAGCCCUGUGAUCGAGUGUGCUUGAAUGGGAAUCUCGGACAGCCACAGCAAGAACUGCACAUUCACCAGGGCGACUGAGGAAACCAGCAGAGGUGGAACCACGAGGCCUCGGCCACUGCAUUGCAGAGAGGAGAGGAUAUGUGGACAUACAGUGUGGAGCUACUGAUGGAUCCAGCACAGCCGACCGCGGAGAUUUCUACUCUUUACCCUGAUAGCUGAUGGCUGCGUCCACCACUGGCCUCAAGUCGUAGUGGGUCGAGCCAACCUGAGAGAAGACGAGGCGGCCGGUGACGCAGACGAGGUAACUUGUCAAGCACGCAGGAAGUCCUUUGACAGCGCUCGUUGAUUUACACUUGCACAAUGGCGGCAUGUAGUAAUCUUUUUUUUUCUUCUUCUUUUUAAAUCACACUCAAUUUCCUUUGCUUUUUUUUAUUUAUGUCACAUUCACAUCACAUAGGAUUUUCCAUGAAUUUGAACUCCAAACUGGAAAAAAAAAAAAAAAAAAAAAAAUUCAACCUCCUAGUUGGUAAUUACAAGCAGAAUAUAUGGGGGGGAAAAAGGUUUUUGUGGGCUCCGAUAUCUCCCACUUGUCAUGGAUUUCGCAAGUGUGGCAACACAUGCGGUAAACACAGGAGGGAAUCCGCCGAUGCUAGCAGUCAAAAGUCCUAAAAAUCAAAAUUAUCUGCUAUUUUUCUGCCAAUCCUGUCGAAUCUGCGUACGAAAAGCGAGACAAGCUCCUGCUGGGGGUCGAGUUUAAAUUCCUAAUUACACAUGAGGUUGGGUGAGCCCAGAUAAGAUCAAAAAAUGGGCUUUAUUGUCUGCCGUCAUGGAAAUUUGUUUUGUGACAACACACUGACGAAAUUUCAUACAUUCACACACACACACACACACACACACACACACACACACACGCGCGCGAAUAAAAGUGUAGUAAGAAGACCGCUCCCACACCACUGCGUUUCCAAGGAACAGGAGAAUUUGGAUAAAACUAUAUUGUACAUACAUAUAUAAUAUAUAUUUUUUAAAAUGUGUUUAUUUUGUUUUUUGUGGUGGAGUUAGGCUGAUUUGGAUGGAGGAGGAGAAAAUUCUGUUUCAGAGGCUGAGAUACUGACCACUACUUCACUUUCCACAUUAUUCAAACAGGGCUUCCAUAUGCAUCAUAAAUCCUUGAAAGUAAAGAAAAAA